CGGUGGGGUCGGGGUGAUCCCGGCGCGUCUGUCCGGGCUCCGGCCACGCCUCGGGGCGGCCUCGGGGGCUGAGCGGGGACAGCGGGGGGGGUUGAGGUGUCCUCAGCGCCCCGAGCCUCCGGCAGGCUCUUGCUCAGCGCGUGGGAAGCGGGGGAUCGCUGCACCCCCCCCGCCCUGAGCCGCUCUGGGUGGUGAGGGACUCCGAGUGCCUGUCACUGGAGAGCGGGAAUGUUAAGCAAAAAAAACCCCGAAAAAAUCCUAACAUAGGGCAUACCCGACGCACGCUGGCCCUCUGGUAGAAACCGCGUGUGCCCAUCAUCAGUUUGAGGACUUCAGAGCACGCUUGCAGUGUGCGGUGCAUGAGGAAAAGAGAAAGAAUCAGCAGUCAUUUGAAAGUUACCUGUUUUUCGAAAUAAAUUGAAAUAAAAAAUCCCUGUUAUUAGUGUAUGAAAGAAGCAGAUUGUGCCUAGAAUAAAGAAGAAGGCAAUCUGGACUGCCAUUCUGGUAACUGUGAUAACAAGUAACUUUUGAUACAAACUGAAUUUCAAUCAUUCUAUUGAAGUAUGAUUGUAAUGGAUUUGUGUAGAUAUACAGAGAUCCAGAUUUAAGUUAUAUGUUCAGCCAUCUUUAACCUAAAGGAUUUAAUCCUAUCAGAGAGCAGUCUUUAGCGUCUGUCUCCAUGGUCUGUACUGAGCUGAGAGAAGAUAAAACUUGAAGGUAGUGUCCAUGGAUGUCAAGGAGGUAACACAGUUGUAUCUUUAACAAUUUUGACUCAACGUAUGACCUACCGCUAGAUGUCUGCAGCACUUCUACGUGUAAAUUCUCUUUCAUGCCUGGUACAUCUUCAAAAA